rnacentral:rRNA from 1 species
AUUGAACGCUGGCGGCAUGCCUUACACAUGCAAGUCGAACGGUAACAGGUCUUCGGAUGCUGACGAGUGACGAACGGGUGAGUAAUACAUCGGAACGUGCCCGAGAGUGGGGGAUAACGAAGCGAAAGCUUUGCUAAUACCGCAUACGAUCUCAGGAUGAAAGCAGGGGACCGCAAGGCCUUGUGCGGACGGAGCGGCCGAUGGCAGAUUAGGUAGUUGGUGGGAUAAAAGCUUACCAAGCCGACGAUCUGUAGCUGGUCUGAGAGGACGACCAGCCACACUGGGACUGAGACACGGCCCAGACUCCUACGGGAGGCAGCAGUGGGGAAUUUUGGACAAUGGGCGCAAGCCUGAUCCAGCCAUGCCGCGUGCAGGAUGAAGGCCUUCGGGUUGUAAACUGCUUUUGUACGGAACGAAAAGACUCUUUCUAAUAAAGAGGGUCCAUGACGGUACCGUAAGAAUAAGCACCGGCUAACUACGUGCCAGCCGCCGCGGUAAGAC